GACGUAGGGGACGAGCGUUGUCCGGAUUCAUUGGGCGUAAAGAGCGUGUAGGCGGCCAGGUAGGUCCGGUGUGAAAACUCGAGGCUUAACCUCGAGAUGUCAUCGGAAACCAUCUGGCUAGAGUCCGGAAGAGGAAAGUGGAAUUCCUGGUGUAGCGGUGAAAUGCGCAGAUAUCAGGAAGAACACCGGUGGCGAAGGCGGGUCUCUGGGCCGAUACUGACGCUGAGGAGCGAAAGCGUGGGGAGCGAACAGG
rnacentral:rRNA from 1 species